CAGUGCAGACGUGUGACUAUGGAUGCAACUAUGAAUGCAAAUGAUCACCCAUCCUUUUCAACACCAGGCUUGGUCCCAAUAGGACCCCUGGAGAUCUUGUUAAGUUAAUAGAUUACUCCAUUCCCUCCAACUCUGGUGUUGAUGAGGAUGACAAUGAUCUGAUCCAUUCAACCAACUUUGUGAACCACUUCUCAGGCUUAAGUAAUCAGAGUACCCCUGAAGAUUUGGUUCAGUUUGUUGCAUAAUCAAUUGUUGAUGAGGAUGACAAUGAUGUAGUCAUCUGAUUGGGAGAGUUAUGGGCCAACCUCCUUCCUGUCUCAGUAGAGACCAGUCCUCUCAGUCAGAAGACCUUGACUACCUAUCAGACCCACCAUGUUUCGGGAGACCCAGCGAGUCUCCUGACCAGAGGGCUUUGACUCCCCAGGAAUGUCCUCACUGCUCUGGGUUGACCCAGUCCUGUUGGUCUGAGACCACUGAUGCCUACUCCCCUAGUAGAACGAAGAGCUCCGUAGUAUCUCAAACCACCUCUCGGAUAAGAUCUAACUCUACCAUGCUGCUUAGUCUGCUAAACUUUGAUUAUUAGUCAAUACAUUUUUCUGGUAAAUUGCUCAAUCCACUCUCUUUACGAGCAAAAAAUGUUCCCUCUUGAUCUAUAGAUUGGGGCUUGCCUCAUUCGAAUGCCUGGAACCAAUCGUUCCAGUCUGGCUAUGAUCACUAUGACAACCCUGGCUACCUGUCAGUUAUGAGUUCUACCUCUGUCUCGUGUGGUAGUUUGUCUAAUUUGUCUAAUUUGCUUGAUUUUGCAUUGGAUUGUUUGUUUGAGUGUUGUUCCACUCCCUUUACCAUCUGUCGCGUUGUCCCUGUUGAUCCACAGAGCCACCCUGUGUCUGGACUCCUGACUCCAGCGGAACAGGGAGCCUUGAUGGCAGCCCAACAGCCCCUGGGAGUCUCUUAACCAGAGGGCUUGGACUCCCCAGGACAGUCCCCGUUGCGUUUUAGCUCCUGAGGAUGAUGUGGUGUACAUGGGAACAACUACCAGGUCCUUCCUGGAGUCCCGGGAUAUUCCCCGCCGCUCUGUGACUCAUGAUGAAGAUGAAGAGGUUAUGUACAUUAGAACAACCACCAUAUCCGUCCUAGACUCCCAGGAUAUUUCCCGAUGCUCUGGCUCCACCCACAGCAAGCACUCUGAGACACCCACCUCAAAUGUAUGCUUUACUAUUACUAAGGAGGAUCUAUGGAAUAUGUGGAUCUCAGAUGUAUGCUCUGCAUUCACCAAGGAGGACCUAUGGCACCUCUGGAACACAGAUACACCCCAGGACUUCAGAUGGGCUCUCCAGUUGAGAUCUCUGCAUUCCUACAAGAGGACUGAGGAUUGAGUCUCAGUCCAACAAUAGGAAGAGGUGCCACUGCCUGGGGUGGGACAUAGAGGACUGCCCUGCCAGCAAGAGAGCCUGGAAUUAAUAUCUCCAAUUGGCUCUCAGGCCAAUUGGAUAGAAUUGAGCAUGCUCUUCUUCACACUCUUAGUUUUAAAACGAAGACAAUUAAUAUAUUUGAAGUGCUUUGUUUUUUUCCAUUAAAAGCAGGCUUUAAAAACA